rnacentral:rRNA from 1 species
GCAUAUCAUAGCGAGAAAAGAAAAUAACAAUGAUUUCCCUAGUAACGGCGAGUGAAGAGGAAAGAGCUCAAAGUUGGAAUCUGUUUGGCUUAGCUAAACCGAGUUGUAAACUGUAGAGGCAUUUUCCAGGUACACUAGACAAAAAAAGUCCUUUGGAACAGGGCAUCAUAGAGGGUGAGAAUCCCGUCUUUGGUCUAAGUAGUUGCCUAUUGUGAUAUGUCUUCAAAGAGUCAGGUUGUUUGGGAAUGCAGCCUAAAUUGGGUGGUAAAUCUCACCUAAAGCUAAAUAUCUGCGAGAGACCGAUAGCGAACAAGUACCGUGAGGGAAAGAUGAAAAGAACUUUGAAAAGAGAGUUAAACAGUAUGUGAAAUUGUUAAAAGGGAACCGUUUGGAGCCAGACUGGCUUGAUUGUAAUCAACCUGGGAUUCGUCCCGGGUGCACUUGCAGUCUAUGCCUGCCAACAACAGUUUGAUCUGGAGGAAAAAAUUAGCCGGAAUGUAGCCUCUCUCGGGAGGUGUUAUAGCCUGUUAUCAUACUCUGGGUUGGACUGAGGAUCGCAGCGAAUGCUCUCGGGCAGGAUUGCUGGGUGCUUUCGCCAAUAAAUGUUAGAAUUUCUGCCUCGGGUGGUGCUAAUGUUCAGCGGAGAAACUCGCCUAGUAUAUCUCUUAUUCGCUUAGGUUGUUGGCUUAAUGACUCUAAAUGACCCGUCUUGAAACACGGACCAAGGAGUCCACCAUAAGUGCAAGUAUUUGGGUGCCAAACCCAUAUGCGUAAGGAAACUGAUUGAUACGAAGUGGUCAAACAUGGCAGUAUCACCCGGCGUGGACGUUUUAACAGAAAUGACCGAGGUAAAGCACUUAUGAUGGGACCCGAAAGAUGGUGAACUAUGCCUGAAUAGGGUGAAGCCAGAGGAAACUCUGGUGGAGGCUCGUAGCGAUUCUGACGUGCAAAUCGAUCGUCAAAAUUUGGGUAUAGGGGGCGAAAGACUAAUCGAACCAUCUAGUAGCUGGUUCUGCGA